UAUUUCUUAUCAAAAAUAAUGCUACAAAACUGCCUCUAAAUCCAGCAGUGGUAGCGGUAGUAAAGUAGACUUAUAGCACAAAUCAGUCUUGUUGAGACCCAACGAACGAGCCUCUGCUGUGGGUCCCACACACAGGCGUAUUGGAUAACAUAUUUGGAAUAACCUAUCCCGGCGCCUGACGUCAGCACGCAAACAAUUACGUUCAUUUCAUAGCCUAGUUUUUUUGCACGCAGCGUCGACUCGCAUCUACAGUCUGUAGUUCUGUUUUUAAAGACUUAAUUCAGUAGUUUCCGCUCUGUUUAUGGUUGACAUUUGGACACAUGAGUGUCCACCGUGCGCUCCGUUAACGCACAGAGAGGAAGAAGACGUCGCACCACGUAAAAAGCAACGUGACCCGCAGGAGCUCCAGGGAAGCAUCUGCAGCAUGACACACUCCGCUGCUGCGUGCUGCUCUUUGAUCGUCCCCAUCCCUCACAAAUCGUUUCUCUUUUACGCCUUUUUCUUUUUGCAGCCUGGCUAGAAACGUUAUGGAAACUACAAGAUUGAAAUCUACAGUCGUUUCCGCUGGUUAAUGGCUCGUUCUGGCUCGGUCUUCCUGCAAGGUGUUGACUCAGGUGCUUCAGUCAAGCAAAGUGCAGGUUUGGAGAUCGCUGCUCAGUCGAGGUCCCUCUCCUGCCGGCUUCAGUACCCAAAACGGACUCUCUGUCCGGUGCCGUCAGGACUUCACAGUGCAGCUGACUGUGAGGGGACAGAGGGAGGAUGGAGAGUGCUGCGGGUGAGGAGGGGUGAGGAGUGUAGGUGUCUUCUAUGGCACAGUUGUGAUAACACCCUCUGCCAGGCAGCAUGCUGCUAUAUUGUGCUUUAACAUCACGUGGCGUCGAGCUACAGCUUUUUGAUGCAUUCUUCCCUCCACCCGACAAAUCCACAUUUUGGCUCUGUCUCCCAAGAGUCCUCAGUGGUGCCUUCCUCCACCCGGUCCUCCAACGACGUGCAGCCACAGAGGCUGCGGCCACAGAGGCUGCACGUCGCUCACCACAUCUAUCAAAGGCUGCCAAAAAAAAAUGAUGCUGGGUGCAACUAAAGAGGGAGACGCGUCAUUCAAAUAGAACAAUGGACACCAGUUUUACAAUGGUCAAUGCAUAAGCGGUGCGAAAUGCGUUUGGGUUUCUGUACACGUCGUCCACAGCAGCCGGUGUGGGUGAGAGAGGUAGAGAGGUAGAGAGAGAGAGAGAGGUAGAGAGAGAGAGAGAGAGAGAGAGAGGGGAGGGAGAGGGAGAGAGAGAGGUGGAGGGGACCAGCGACGCAGCAGCUCCGCGCACACUGUCAUCCGAAGCUGGUGAGGAGAUGUUGGGAUGCGGGAGCGGAUGCUGGCAGCAGUAUCGCCUCGGCCUCGGCUUGUCUCUGGUCACUGAAGCAAAAGUAAUGCCAGUGUUUUAAAAACACUUCUGUGGGUCGGAUCAACUCACUGUGCAGGUUUACUCUCAGUACAGUGGAGGCUUGCAACGUUUGGGUUUCUCCCUGGACUCCUGGCUCUUAGAGUUUGGUUACACUUGAUGAGAUGAUGGUAGAAACUUGCGUUGAAUUACUGAAUGGACUUGAACCGGAGAUGCGGGAUUUAUUCCAAGUUGUUGGCUUGAAUGUGCGGAGUGCAGACAGAAGCAAAGUCACAUAGAAAUACACACACCCCGUCUGCAGGCCUGCAUCUGAACCUGCAGGACAUUGGGUCAGCAGAGACUCACACCACGUCCUGCUCUGAGGAUCAGAGGUCACACAACGGGUCAGAACAAGGCUUCAUCACUCCAGAAUUACAGAGCAGGAAGAAGAGGAGGAGGAGGAGGAGGAGGAGGCAGUGGAGGAGGAAAAAGAGAAGCAGAGUGGGUGGAAGGAUGGAAGGAGAGAAGGAUAGAAGCAGUUCGAGGAGGUGGUUCGAAGCGGGUGAACCCAGAGCAGGUGAACACAGCUGUGGAUCGCCAUGGGCUCUCUGGCUGCCUUCCUCCUGUGGCCCCGGCGCUGCAUACAGGGGUCCCGGGGAGCCGGCAGGGGCCAGCCAAAGCUGCGGCAGAGUGGGCAGGCUAGGCCAGCCAAGCCAGGAGAGAGGCAGGUGAGGCGGGUGAGCUGAGCUCUCAUCCCCGCCGGCUAGGAGCCUCCGCGGCAGAGUGGAGCAGCGCGGAGCAGCAGAAAUCAAUACAGAGGAGAUAGGCUAGCAGAGGUUGCCCAGCACCGCCUGCAGGCCUCGGAGCCCAGGGACCAACCACUACCACUGCUCCCAGCUCCUCCCUCCAUCUCUCUUUCUAUCUUUCUCCAACAGUCCCAGCACCAGCCAGGGCCAGGGCCCUAACCCUGCAACCGCCCCACACGCAGUGUGUGUGUCAGUGUGUAAAAUAGAGAGAGAAAAAGGGAGAGAGAAGAGACAGUGAGAGUCUUUGUGUGUGGUUCAGCCGGAGGGGUUUUUGCUGCGUCCAACACCACUUGAUAAAACUUUGUCAGAGAGACACAGAGACAGCGAGGGAGGGAGAGAAAUGGAAGAAGAAGAAGACAGGACGUCGAAGGUCUCUUUUCUUCCAGCUCCCUCCCUCUUAUUACUCAUUCCACCUUAACUGUUUGAAUAAGGAUCCAUCAGAGACGGUACACAGGACGUUUUUGCUCAGUCCCACUUCCAAGCACAUAGCGCACAGUAUUCCUAAGAUCGCAUGAGCCAGGAUGAAAGGACAAUUUGAACUUUUUCUCUCAUCCACUAUAUCAGACACAACCUGUCUUUUUGCCUUAGAUUUUCUUAUCCUCACUACAGCAGCUCCCAUCAGAGGAUAUGGCAGUGCAGUAUUGAUCUAUAAAGUGGAAGAGAGUAAGGCGGGCCUGGGCUUUCAUACCUCUCUCUUUCUCUCUUAUGUGUGUGGAAAUAGCACCUGAAGUCCACUUACUGCUGUGCAGCAGGGAUCCCUUGGCAGCACAAGUGAAUGGCUGCUAAUUGAAUGAGAGAUGAAAAGGACAGUAGUUGUACCAGUUCAUUGCCCACCUCCUCCUGUCUGAUACUACUUGGUUUUUCAUGUGACUUUUUUCUCCUCCACGUUUACAAAAGUCCUUUUCCACACAAAGAGACUCGCUCUACAGAUGUUUUAGCAAAAUUGGUUGUGACUAAAGAAAAUUGGCAAAAUCCUCAGGAAUGAAAAAACCUGGUUUACAUCAGUGUAGAGGUGAAUGCCCUCAGUAGAAAACAGAGAGGAGAAAAGUACUUUUUCAUGCAGUGGUAGAAAUAUCCGACUGAAAACUUUUGAGAGGUCAUGCCACAAAACGCACUGUACUGUACAUAUUUGUGGACUUGGAAGGACAUUACAGGACAGAUGGACAGUUUUCCAAGUAUGAAAACUUAACGGGAUUCAUACCUCUUGAUGCAGCCAGUCAAAAAUGCCACCAAGAUUGAAAAGCAGCGAUUGAGCUUCCACCAUUGGACAAAGCACACAGGUUGUCUGUAGCCAAUUUCUCUGAACAUGUUUAGCCUUGGCCACAUAUGGAAAAUGCCACCUCUACACCUGCAAGAACAGUCAGUUAGACACACACCAUUAGAGUCGGAUUAUCAGUUGUGUAGUCUGCGGUCUUUGUGGAUGGGGACAGGUAAGUUGGAGCCGCUUCUAAAAGGUAAGUUUAGAGGUUGAAUCAAUUUAUGAGCUGUCUGAAGUGUAAAAUAGAGCUGCCGAGCAAUAUUUUCCUAAAUUAGUUUCAUUAGAGAUGAAGUACUAUAUUUGAGACCAAUUUUAGGUCGGAGAUUGGAUGAGACCCCAAGGGGUCCUUCUUUUCACUCAGUAAUUUACAUUCAAGUAUUUGACUGUAAAAUCGUUUGACAAGAGUUUGUUGCUGUUGAAUUACUUUCCCCUUUUCUGUGGGAUAUUAUGUACACAUACUGUACAUAUUUAUACAAUCUUUUUCAUAGUGUAAUGAACUAAUUUAUCAUAAAAUGUUAGAUGAGAUUCGCAAAUGCCAAAAGUGUUGCCCUGAUAUGAUAUGUUUUCAAUAAAGUUGAACAAUUUGUGAAAUGAAAA